rnacentral:rRNA from 1 species
GACGAACGCUGGCGGCGUGCUUAACACAUGCAAGUCGAACGGUAAGGCCCUGCUUUUGUGGGGUGCUCGAGUGGCGAACGGGUGAGUAACACGUGAGUAACCUGCCCUUGACUUUGGGAUAACUUCAGGAAACUGGGGCUAAUACCGGAUAGGAGCUCCUGCUGCAUGGUGGGGGUUGGAUAGUUUCGGCGGUUGGGGAUGGACUCGCGGCUUAUCAGCUUGUUGGUGGGGUAGUGGCUUACCAAGGCUUUGACGGGUAGCCGGCCUGAGAGGGUGACCGGCCACAUUGGGACUGAGAUACGGCCCAGACUCCUACGGGAGGCAGCAGUGGGGAAUAUUGCACAAUGGGCGGAAGCCUGAUGCAGCAACGCCGCGUGCGGGAUGACGGCCUUCGGGUUGUAAACCGCUUUCGCCUGUGACGAAGCGUGAGUGACGGUAAUGGGUAAAGAAGCACCGGCUAACUACGUG